rnacentral:rRNA from 1 species
UUUCCGGUUGAUCCCGCCAGACCUGACUGCUAUCGGAUUGAUACUAAGCCAUGCGAGUCUUUGUAGUAAUACAAGGCAGACGGCUCAGUAACACGUAGUCAACCUACCCUAUGGACGAGAAUAAUCUCGGGAAACUGAGCAUAAUUCUUGAUAGAUCAUAAUGCCUGGAAUGGUUUAUGGUUAAAAUGAUUCGUCGCCAUAGGAUGGGACUGCGGCCUAUCAGCUUGUUGGUGAGGUAAUGGCCCACCAAGGCGAUUACAGGUACGGGCUCUGAGAGGAGAAGCCCGGAGAUGGGUACUGAGACACGGACCCAGGCCCUAUGGGGCGCAGCAGGCGAGAAAACUUUGCAAUGUGCGAAAGCACGACAAGGUUAAUCCGAGUGAUUUCUGCUAAAGAAAUCUUUUGCCAGUCGUAAAACCGCUGGUGAAUAAGGGGUGGGCAAGUUCUGGUGCCAGCAGCCGCGGUAAU